rnacentral:rRNA from 1 species
GACGAACGCUGGCGGCGUGCUUAACACAUGCAAGUCGAACGGAAAGGCCCUGCUUUUGUGGGGUGCUCGAGUGGCGAACGGGUGAGUAACACGUGAGUAACCUGCCCUUGACUUUGGGAUAACUUCAGGAAACUGGGGCUAAUACCGGAUAGGAGCUCCUGCUGCAUGGUGGGGGUUGGACAGUUUCGGCGGUUGGGGAUGGACUCGCGGCUUAUCAGCUUGUUGGUGGGGUAGUGGCUUACCAAGGCUUUGACGGGUAGCCGGUCUGAGAGGGUGACCGGCCACAUUGCGACGGAGAUACGGCACAGACUCCUACGGGAGGCAACAGUGGAGAAUGGUGCACAAUGGGCGGAGGCCUGAUGCAACAACGCCGCGUGCGGGAUGACGGCCUGCGGGUUGGAAACCGCUUUCGCCUGUGACGAAGCGUGAGUGACGGUAAUGGGUAAAGAAGCACCGGCUAACUACGUG